UUUGAUCCAUGGCUCAGGACGAAACGCUGGCGGCGUGCUUAACACACGCAAGUUCGAACGAAGAAGCCUAGCUUCGCUAGGUGGAAUAUCGGCGAACGGGCGAGUAAUACGUCGAGUCGACCUACCUUUUGACUCUGGGAUAAACCUGGGAAAACUGGGUCUAAUACCGGAUACGACCAAUCUCCGCAUGGGGUCGUUGGUGGAAAGCGUUAUGGAGUGGUUUUUAGAUGGGCUCACGGCCUAUCAGCUUGUUGGUGAGGUAAUGGCUUACCAAGGCGACGACGGGUAGCCGGCCUGAGAGGGUGACCGGCCACACUGGGACUGAGACACGGCCCAGACUCCUACGGGAGGCAGCAGUGGGGAAUAUUGCACAAUGGGCGCAAGCCUGAUGCAGCGACGCCGCGUGAGGGAUGACGGCCUUCGGGUUUGUAAACCUCUGUUAGCAUCGAAGAAGCGAAAGUGACGGUAGGUGCAGAAAAAGCGCCGGCUAACUACGUUCCAGCAGCCGCGGUAAUACGUAGGGCGCGAGCGUUGUCCGGAAUUAUUGGGCGUAAAGAGCUUGUAGGCGGUUGGUCGCGUCUGCUGUGAAAGGCUGGGGCUUAACCCUGGUUUUGCAGUGGGUACGGGCUAACUAGAGUGCAGUAGGGGAGACUGGAAUUCCUGGUGUAGCGGUGGAGUGCGCAGAUAUCAGGAGGAACACCGAUGGCGAAGGCAGGUCUCUGGGCUGUAACUGACGCUGAGAAGCGAAAGCAUGGGGAGCGAACAGGAUUAGAUACCCUGGUAGUCCAUGCCGUAAACGUUGGGCACUAGGUGUGGGGGACAUUCCACGUUUUCCGCGCCGUAGCUAACGCAUUAAGUGCCCCGCCUGGGGAGUACGGCCGCAAGGCUAAAACUCAAAGAAAUUGACGGGGGCCCGCACAAGCGGCGGAGCAUGCGGAUUAAUUCGAUGCAACGCGAAGAACCUUACCAAGGCUUGACAUAUACUGGACUGCGUCAGAGAUGGCGUUUCCCUUCGGGGCUGGUAUACAGGUGGUGCAUGGUUGUCGUCAGCUCGUGUCGUGAGAUGUUGGGUUAAGUCCCGCAACGAGCGCAACCCUCGUUCUAUGUUGCCAGCACGUGAUGGUGGGGACUCAUAGGAGACUGCCGGGGUCAACUCGGAGGAAGGUGGGGAUGACGUCAAAUCAUCAUGCCCCUUAUGUCUUGGGCUUCACGCAUGCUACAAUGGCCGGUACAGAGGGUUGCGAUACUGUGAGGUGGAGCUAAUCCCUAAAAGCCGGUCUCAGUUCGGAUUGGGGUCUGCAACUCGACCCCAUGAAGUCGGAGUCGCUAGUAAUCGCAGAUCAGCAACGCUGCGGUGAAUACGUUCCCGGGCCUUGUACACACCGCCCGUC
rnacentral:rRNA from 1 species